ensembl:lncRNA
CUGAGAACGGUUGCAGGUCCUUCCCGUAGCUCCAUCUGUGAAAGGCAGAGCUGGCAGGAACAAUUCUCAAUGCACAAGAGCCUGGGAAGCCAGGCUGAGGAGGAGCUCAUGGGAGCGGAGAGAAGAGCAGCAAAUCCCUCUGUCAACAGGAACUUCAAGGAAACCACUACAGAAGCCUAAGGUGUGCAGCCAGCUCCUAUUCUGCAGAUGAUGACUCAGAGGGAGAGAAACCUAUCACUUGCUCCAGGAUGCACAAGAUUUCCAUUCUUGCUGAAAACAUCCACAAUGUGUCUCCAGCCGAGAACACGGAGCUGAGCAGUGAGGUUGAUGCAAGGAGACCGGAAGGGACUGACAGGCACUGUCAGCAGAUCUGAAUGAGGCAGCACCUAUGGCCGAU